UAGAAUAAACAUGAUGGGUUGUCGCUGGCUCUUUGGAGUAUGUGCACACUCAUUAUCUUUAUCCAUUCACCUGUGCACUUUUUGUAGUCUCAAAGAGUAAACGCAACUAUACUUCAAUAGUUCUAUUGGAUGUGAGGAAUGCUUUGUGAAAGCAUAGCUUUCCUCAAUCAUGUUGCGGUUGCAAUUUGGACUAUGCUCUUCCAUACACUCUAUAGUAUGUUUCAGAAUGUAUCUAUAGGCCAUCGUGCCUCUAAAGUUAAUA
rnacentral:misc_RNA from 1 species